ACCUCUCUCCAUAGAGAACACCACCUCUCUCCACAGAGAACACCAUCUCCCUCUACAGAGAACACCACCUCUCUCUACAGAGAACACCACCUCUCUCUUCAGCCCUCUACUCUGACCUCCCCUCAUUUUAUUCAGUGGCAGAUAUGAGAUGAAGAUUCAGAAGAACCAAGUGGUGUUCUUCAAGCACUUUGGGAUUGUACGCCAUGAUGCAGUGAAGACAGACAUCAAGGCUGUGAGAGAUAGUCCAGCAUGGAAAUGAGUUCCUUCCCUCUAGGGCCUGGACCCUGUCUGUUCGCUUAUCCUUCUCGUGCGUUCCAGCACACCACAACCCCUGGAAAGAAUGGUGUGACCAUGAAGAAAAUCAGUAAGAGGUUCCAGAAAUGACCUUCCAGUGUUCCACCUCCCCCAAAAGGAGCUUCUGGCUCGAGAGGUCUAUAAUGUAUCCUUACAGCCACUAGAGGGAGACAGCCUGACACUGGUCCACCUCCCCCAGAAGGAGCUUCUGGCUCGAGAGGUCUAUAAUGUAUCCUUACAGCCACUAGAGGGAGACAGCCUGACACUGUUCCACCUCCCCCAGAAGGAGCUUCUGGCUUGAGAGGUCUAUAAUGUAUCCUUACAGCCACUAGAGGGAGACAGCCUGACACUGUUCCACCUCCCCCAGAAGGAGCGUCUGGCUCGAGAGGUCUAUAAUGUAUCCUUACAGCCACUAGAGGGAGACAGCCUGACACUGUUCCACCUCCCCCAGAAGGAGCUUCUGGUUUGAGAGGUCUAUAAUGUAUCCUUACAGCCGCUAGAGGGAGACAGCCUGACACUGUUCCACCUCCCCCAGAAGGAGCUUCUGGUUUGAGAGGUCUAUAAUGUAUCCUUACAGCCACUAGAGGGAGACAGCCUGACACUGGUCCACCUCCCCCAGAAGGAGCUUCUGGCUCGAGAGGUCUAUAAUGUAUCCUUACAGCCACUAGAGGGAGACAGCCUGACACUGUUCCACCUCCCCCAGAAGGAGCUUCUGGCUCGAGAGGUCUAUAAUGUAUCCUUACAGCCACUAGAGGGAGACAGCCUGACACUGUUCCUUUACAGCUGAGAUCAUUUACUUUGCUGGAAUUUUCACAAGAAUGUGGUACAUUUUCACAUCUCUUAAGCACAAAAAUAUAAACAGAUCAUCAAAAUGGCUCAUGUUUCAGAACUACACAUAUUUUUAAUUGGCUGAGUACAACAAACAUACUCACAGUCUUUUGUUCACUGCACCAAUUCACUCUUUCAAUUUGGAUACAUGUUCAAUCUUUGUAUCUGCUUUUCAAAAUGCAAUAUUCACUUCAAUUUUGCUAUCAUUUUCUUGUCAUUUGUUAACAAUACAAAUAACUAUCAUUUAAUGAAACUGCUCAAUACUGAUAACUACAGAAACACAAUCAUGUCUAGAUAAUGUAUAUAUUUUUUCAGAUCUCCUGAACGCUCUAAAUGUCUAUAUUUCUACCUCAAAUGUAUCAAUUUGACAUCUACUGUAUAAGGAUAAUGAAACUGUUUGAUUGAAAUAUUUGUCAACAUGCUCACAAUCUGCCAUUGAAUAGAAUAUUUACAGAAAAUGGUGCCUGUCAUGUUAUAGUCAAACACUGUAUGGAAAAGGAUAUUUACAAUCUACCAUUUGUUCUAUUCAGCACUUCAAAAAGAACACUUUUGAAAUGUUUAUUAUGUAUUUUUUGCUAUUGGAUUAAAUGGUAGUUCAAAUGAAA